rnacentral:misc_RNA from 1 species
AACGGUCUAUACCUGCGGUACCUGCGGAGGGAUCAUUACCGAGUUCUCGCCCCUCGCGGGGUAGACCUCCCACCCACUGUGAUCACUACCGUCGUUGCUUUGGCGGGCCGCUGGGCCCAGCCCACCGCCGGCUCCGGCUGGCGCGUGCCCGCCAGAGGCCCUACAAACGCUGGAUAUCAGUGCCGUCUGAGUACACAUGUUAAUCGUUAAAACUUUCAGCAACGGAUCUCUAGAUCGGAA